UACGGAGGGUGCAAACGUUGCUCGGAAUCAUUGGGCGUAAAGCGCGUGUAGGCGGCCCGGUAAGUCCGCUGUGAAAGUCGGGGGCUCAACCCUCGGAUGCCGGUGGAUACUGUCGGGCUUGAGUGCGGAAGAGGCGAGUGGAAUUCCUGGUGUAGCGGUGAAAUGCGCAGAUAUCAGGAGGAACACCAAUUGCGAAGGCAGCUCGCUGGGACGUUACUGACGCUGAGACGCGAAAGCGUGGGGAGCAAACAGG
rnacentral:rRNA from 1 species